GUUGUAAUAUUGGUUUGUAGGCAGCCAUCUCAGGUCAUUUUGCCUGGUCGUGUGCUUUCAGAAAGAGCCAGCACUGCAGGGUGGAAUUGCUUUCAGUUGGCAGAGAACAUUGGGCUGCUUGUGUUUGAGGCAGAUCUGUCCAAACGAAGAUACUGGGGCUGCAGCUUUGAUGACAAAGUGACCAUCGUCCCUGUGUGUCUGCAGUUUGUUAUUUGCACUGUCCCUGAUAAGCAGUCACUCUUCUCCCAGCUGAGCUUUUCCUUUUCCUGCCAGAGAAUCCCUGCAGCUGCUGCAGAAUAACAUUCAUUUCCUUCCUGAAGAAGAGUCUGGUGCUACUGGACUCCCCAGUUCAGGGAUGAGAGGGAAGAAGAGAGCAGACAGUGCCUAAGCCAAGAGUUGGCACGCACCCAACGACUAAUGCACUGGCACAGAGAUGAAAGGAACAGAGAGGCAGGACACAUGCACACACAAAGGCAAAGGCCAAUAAAAUGUGCACUAUUGUCAAGGACAAGUCAUUUUAAUUUUUUUGGAUGCUGGUAGUAAUUUCACAGCUGAUUAAAACCCUGAAUACUGUAUAUGUCACUGUGAUCCAGUACAGUGAAUUGGUCAGAAUCAGACCUAGUAGGGAAGGUGUGCUUCUCUUCAACCCAAACAUCAACCAAUCAUCAUCAUGAAUUACAUCACUAUGUCUGUGUAGCAUUGUACAAUAAAACACAAUAAUAGAAUAAAAAUGUAUUUACAGACAA